UGCAAGUGUCAAACUUCGUCAACGCCAGUAGCUGACGCUCGAAAAUUUUCAUUGGUUGUCAGGUGCUAGCAGAAACUUGUUUGUUUGUGAAAAUUCUCCGCAUUAGUUUUAAUCAGGGUUUAUCAAAAUCCGCAGCAGGAUCAGAACAUGAUCAGGAAUAGAAUAAAUUGAUUGAUCAGUGAACCUGCUUCGUACCUAGAAGAAAGUGCACUGGAUUUUCAGCUGUAAGAAACGGAUUCUGGAAGAGAUCCGCAACACAUAAUCACCGGAAGUGUUGUUCCGAUCCGAUUAGAAAUGACUGCGAAGUACAUUCAGAGGGAAGACAGAGCGCAAGAGGAAUCAAAAUUUCCCUGUUGAUCGGCUGGGUAUAAUCCAACGAGAAAAGAGGAAUGACGAAUUACAGGUCAUCAAAACGCCAGGCCGCAAACAAAACACACUUUGAACUAUUGUACGAUUUCCGGAACCAACCUGUCCCAAACGAUCAUCAUUCGGUAAUUUAAAGAAUGUCUACGAAGUUGUGUUGUGUUAAACAGAGGGUGCAUGGUAAG